rnacentral:rRNA from 1 species
UACAGAGGGGGCAAGCGUUGUUCGGAAUUACUGGGCGUAAAGGGCGCGUAGGCGGCCUGCUAAGUCGAACGUGAAAUCCCUGGGCUCAACCCAGGAACUGCGUCCGAUACUGGUUGGCUUGAAUCCGGGAGAGGGACGUGGAAUUCCAGGUGUAGCGGUGAAAUGCGUAGAUAUCUGGAGGAACACCGGUGGCGAAGGCGGCGUACUGGGUCUUAUCUGACGCUGAGGCACGAAAGCUAGGGGAGCGAACGGG